UGUGUCAUGCAGCUGCUAUGGGGGGAUGGAGGAGGAGUUGCAUUGGCAAUUCAAGACUGCCUUUCUUACCCUUUUCAGUGCCUCUUUCAGUGAUACGAAGCUAAAACCAGAUACUGCUUUCAUAGUACUCUUCUGACCAUGGUUUUCUGGAGUUUUUUCGUAUGGAGUUUGUAAGCUUCCUGACAUGGAUUAUAACUGUACUUGAUGGAGCACAGUUAUAAUAGCUGCUUUAGAGUCCUUGAUAAUUCCCACAUCUGAAUCAUCUCGAGUUAUUUUUGGCAGAUUUUGAUGGAUGUACAUUGAUGGAUAGCCACAUGGAUCCAGAAAAUAAAGACUUCUACUCUGCAUAUUGACUAAAGCAGAAGAUAUGCAGGGAAGCUCAGUCUCUCAAUUGAGUGGAUUCUGAAAUUUAUCCUGUUGUCUUCAGCUACUAAGGCUAAUUUGCAAAUCACACUGUGUACGGUUUUAUCUCUCCCAAUAAAUACAAUAUUCUACAUCCUCUAUUGUACUCAGAAUUUGGAAAUUAACCCCAGUAUGCUGAUUAAUAGUCAUAACUAUAUCUAGAUAACAAAAUAUGCAUAUAUAUGAAGGAGGCAGACAAUAGGGGAGGGCAGGUUGAAAGUUUUUU
rnacentral:lncRNA from 1 species